rnacentral:lncRNA from 1 species
UUUGUCAUGCGGACUAUAUAUAUAUAUAUAUAUAUUAAUUUAUCUGUUAUUAUUAUUUGUGUGCAAUUGUACGUACCAUUAGUCACUUCUGUCUAAGGGUUGUGGAGCCUAUAAUUCACUGCUCCAUGCUCACAUAUAAAAUGUUAUUCGAUUAAUUGCUUCGAGCAGGUCUAGAAACCGAUCGAUGACUUGACAAUUUGGGGGGAAUUUCCAUUGGAUUACGGCUCUUUUUCAAAAUAUUGC